CUUCUCAAACAGUCCUAGCUGAAGAAAGAAGACACCACCCACUGAAGGCAAAAUAAGGAGAAAGAACAGAGAAAAGAGUUGGUAAAUACUGUACUGUAUCCUCUCCAGGAAGAAAGAAGGGAAGAAAACCUUCCUACCUGGAAUCUGGGAUGCCACAUUUCUCCAGCUUACCAGAAAACCAGCACAAAGUGAAUAUUACUGAUCAAUUUGCAGAUAGCCUGUCUACAACAGGAGAAAUCAGAAAAUAGUGGAGAACGGGAAACCCAGGCUGGAAUCAGCAAUGACUUCUCAUGGAAGACUAAGCCGUUUGGCUGCAGAAGAACCAGGAAGCAAGGUCAUACAUGGCCUAGGAACAUUUUCUCCUGUGUGUGGCCAGGAGGAGAAAUGUGCAUGGACACAGAAACCCAACCAUGCUCUGCAGCCGAAGGAUGUGGAUGGUCCACAAAAGUCAUACCCCAGCCCAAAGAACACUCUGGAGUGAUGUAGAAACUCAGACAGGGAAGUGCAGCAACUAGCAGCAUGUUGAUGGAGAAACUGCAACGUGAGCAAGUAUACCUGCAAGACUGGCCAAGGGAUGCACAGCAAAGAGGCAAACGUAAAGCAACUUGCAGAGGUAAGUUGCUGAACUGAGCAAA